rnacentral:rRNA from 1 species
UACGUAGGUGGCAAGCGUUGUCCGGAAUUAUUGGGCGUAAAGCGCGCGCAGGCGGUUCUUUAAGUCUGAUGUGAAAGCCCACGGCUCAACCGUGGAGGGUCAUUGGAAACUGGAGAACUUGAGUACAGAAGAGGAAAGCGGAAUUCCACGUGUAGCGGUGAAAUGCGUAGAGAUGUGGAGGAACACCAGUGGUGAAGGCGGCUUUCUGGUCUGUAACUGACGCUGAGGCGCGAAAGCGUGGGGAGCAAACAGG